GCGCACUGUCUAAGCUUCAGUUCUGGCGAAAUCACUGCACAGACAUUCACAAGAUCACCAUCAGCAGUAAUACUUCUGGGUCCCUGAAGCUGCUACUCUGGUUAAGCCAGCCACAGUUUGUUGUUAAAGAGGUAGAAGAAGUGUAGAUUUUAAAUCCAGAAAAUAUGAGGAAAUUGUGUAUAUUCGGUUAGCUGCAUCUAAACAAGAUCAAGAUGCAGACAUUUGGAUCUUUAUCUUAAAGGGCUUUGAGGACAUUUUCUACAUAUCCAGGAUGGCUGAAACGAGGGCUGUUGAUGAGGGGCAAAUUCUGGUAAUAAGCUCCUGGGAAAGACGUGCCGACUUGAGAGGAAACUGCAAAUGCAGAUCCACAAGUGAGCGCCGGAGGAAGAGGGCCGAUCCGCUAGUGGACCCCAAUGGAUGUCAAGAUGGAAAGGCGUCCUGAACUGCAAGUGUGUGGGUGAAGCCCCAGUGUGGGUACUGAAUAGGAAAGCGUUGAGGUGAAAAUGAAUGUAAAUAAAGAAAGCUGUGCUUAGUGAACGUUUGCCUGUCUCUCUUUCUUCCAGCGCGGAACUAACGAGUGUGCUACAGUCUACCAUUGUUAUAUGGCUGUAAAACUCUUUCUGCUAAAAAAAUAUUAUUUACUUAAAUUGACAGAAAUGCACAAUAAAUGCCCAGACAUUUUUCUAAUUUUAGGGUGAUUUUAAUGAAUGUUUGUAUAACACACUGGACAGAUUUCCUAGAAGCAACAAAGCUCUUCACAUUGAUUCUACACACACACACACACACACACACACACACACACACACACACACACACACACACACACACACACCCUUGGCAUUUAAAACAAGUCUAAUAUUUUUGUUACACUAACAGUUUAUGUCUGUUUAUAACUUUCCUUUACCUUUUAAAGAAUAUAAUGCUGUGCCAAAAGCGAUUCUUUCAGGUCUAGUUCAACUUGUAAAAUCCUUUGUUGUAAGAGUGAUAUUAAGGAAGCUGAACUGAACUUACAUGGAAUUAGUAUACUUGACAAAAACUUUAAUUAUUAAAGUAUUCAACAAAUUCUCUAGAAAAAAAGUUAAAUAUCCCUAAAGGUGAAUUUUACUGUGCAUCUUUCAUUGAUUUAAUAGAUUGGAAAAAAGCCUGGUUGUUACCUCACAAAUACUGUAUUCCCAAAAAAAAACAAAGGUUCAUUUCAAGAUUCUUAAUAAAAUAUACCCGGUGAAUUGUACUUUGGCAAAAUAUAUUGUUGACAGUUCAUGCUCUUUUUCUCGGUAUUCUUCUGGUAUAGCUUAUAUUUUUCAUAUAGGUAAUCACCUUAAUUCUUCCUGUUCUUUUAGUUAAAAGAUAUAAUUUGUUACUAUGAUGGUAAAACUAAUAUAUCAGUGAAUUACAUUAACUUUUUCAUUUUGUUUGGGAAAUGUCUUAUUUCUAAACAAAAAAUUUCUAAACAAGAAAAGUGAUAUUUUUGAAAUCUUAUGAUAAUUAUAUCGGUCAUGUCACUGAUGCAUGAGUCUUUCCUCUGUAGUUGUUCGUGAUUUAUCUUCUCAUUUUUAUUAAUUGAAAUAUUUUACGUGCGUUUGUAUCUUAUUUAUUAUAGUUAUUAGUAUUAUCAUUUUCCUGUAUAGGUUCUGGUUAACCUUGUACAUGUUCAUUG